UAGAUACCCUGGUAGUCCACGCCGUAAACGAUGUCUACUAGAUGUUCGAGGUCUUGUACUUUGAGUAUCGCAGCUAACGCAUUAAGUAGACCGCCUGGGGAGUACGGUCGCAAGAUUAAAACUCAAAUGAAUUGACGGGGGCCCGCACAAGCGGUGGAGCAUGUGGUUUAAUUCGACGCAACGCGAAGAACCUUACCUACUCUUGACAUCUACAGAAGAACGCAGAGAUGUGUUUGUGCCUUCGGGAACU
rnacentral:rRNA from 1 species